rnacentral:tRNA from 1 species
GCGGAUGUAGCCAAGUGRAUCAAGGCAGUGGAUUGUGAUCCCCACACUGCUGCGGAGGAA